AGUUGGAGGAAGGCCUGCAGUGCUCCGCUCCUCUGCCAGGCCCUGUCAGCGGGGGCUCACACCAGAGGCUAAGAGAGCAGACAUCUGCCAACAAGGGCACCAGUUAACCAUGAUGACAGAAGGUAGCAAGGCUCAGAUCCUUCCUGUGGCUGGUUGAUGAGGGGUGCUUGAACACAGGUCUUUCAUGCCUUAUCCCGUCACCUUUGAGACAGGUGUCUCCAAGUGCAGCAGGCUCUGCUACAUGUUCUGAGCACUUGGGUCUAACCAGAGAGCAAACUGGACUGACAUACACUGGAAAGAGCUACUCAAAUUAACACUUAAUAUUGGUACUCAAGACAGCAAAAACAGAAGAGAUGAUAGAAACUGCUCCAUGCUGCUUAGUGAGGUCCAUGCCUCCCUCCACAAGAUGCCAAGAGGGCAGAGAGAUGGGCCGCUAUCUGUUUAGGCCACAACGCUCUCCCAUUUUAGAAUAAGCAAAUGUCAUAUCUGUAAGGCAUGGGGAGAGGAAAAAAAAUGACAGAAGAGUUCCCCACCCACCAAAGAGCUCAGUGACUCAAGGCAUGGCCCUUUUAACUCACAGCUGCCUCUGAGAGGCAGAAUGGACUCAACACACACAUUUCAAGCAGCCUGACUAAAUCCCUGAAUACAAUAACCACAAACAAGGCAUCAACUUCCAGCAUGGCAGUCAUGAAAAACCAACCACAAAUAUUUCUAAAAGACAUCUGAAAGGUUCUUCUCUCCCUGCAAACGCAAUGCUGCUAUCGUUCCUCACUCUUUAAAAGCCAGUGAAAAAUUUCCAGUUAUUUCCAUUGUUACUUCCAUUGCUCCCUAAACACUUGGACAGACGUGAUUCCUGCCACAAGAUUUUUAAAUCACUGGAACCCCAUUUCCUUCAUACUAAUGACAGUAUAAAAUGUGCAUCUAACUAACUCCCACUGAAAUCAAGACCUUGAAACACCAUCUUGGAGCAAAUCCAACUGCAGUGCUAUAGCAGGACCACAGCCAUGCAGGACCACAGCUAUUCAGCAUUCCCUACAGUGCACUGCCAAAGCGAGGGUGUGUUGCAGCAGCUGACACAGAGAUGACUGACCACAGCUCAUUUUAGCAAGGCCUAUGCUGAGCUAUCACGUACAUCUCUCAGGGCAGAAAUGAAGGGUGAGGUAAACUCGGUUACAAAUACCACCAAGAAAUGCAAACAUCAUCCAUAACCUCUUAUCGUGGGAACGGAAAGAUUUGGACCUAACACUCUCCAAAGGGCUCUGUGUUCAGUGGCUAUAAAACGUUCAGGACGUCUCACACACUGGACGAGGCCAGAAGUAAAUGUGAGCCUCUCAGUGAGAUGCUCUGGUUAGUGUGGUACAGGGUAAAGGAAGACCUGAAGACAGAAGAUUCCCUCUUGCUCAGAGCAGCAGGGGUGCUUUGAUUGCAGCAACAGGCUAGUGGCAGUGCUGACAUCUGUACAGCUAAAACAGGCAGUAAGGGCUUCUCCUGCUACAGCAUGUGGCACAGAGCAGUCUAGCCAUCAACCUUCAUCUUCCCUUCUCUCCCACUCUCGUCACUGGCCAGCUCCUUGCUUUCUGUGUGCAUGCAGUCCCGGAGGGCAGAAAACACCCAUGGCCCUGCAUUUCGGAAAAGAAAUUGAAUAUUCUUCCUAUGCCUUCCCUAAGCAAUUUGCUUUUUCUUUCAACAUCUCUGCUUUUAUGCACAUCCCAAUUGCUUCCCAUAUUCAGAACUGUUAUUCCUGUUUGCAUCAAACAUUUUUGGGUGCCCCAUGUGCUAAAAGAACAGCUCAAGUUCUGUCACAGGUAGGACAGCCUGGUCGAUGUCCGCUCCGUAUGGAAGUGAACAGGGUGGGCUUCUGCAGGUACGUGUGCCACAGGAGGGACUGCCGUAAUGCGUUACAUGGCAGUAACUGGCUGGUAGAAGUGAAGGAAUUCAUUUGUACACUUCUAAACGCAGCAUUAGGAAUGUGCAGUAGCAUGCAGAGCAGUCAUUUCAAUUUUACUUAUGUACCUCUUGUAAAAAUAAUCAUUUAUGGUCAUUAUAAAUCUGCUCUAACAUAAAUCAAAUGAAGAAAUCAGUGUAUUAUUGCUGUUGGCUUUGGUUUAGUUUCUCUGGAAACUGUGAGUGUUAGCACUGUCAGUAAUCAGCGUUGUCAGCCACCCCAAAAAGGGCAUUAAAGAGAGGUGGCUGACAACGAUGCUCAGUGCUUACAAUGACCAGUUGAUUGUCCCUCUACGUGCAGGAGGCAGAAACAGAGGUGGCAAAGGAUGCUGCCCGCAGGGUUGUUCACAAAGGUCUGUGUGGGCACACGACCUUGUGAGGCCGGCUGCUGCCGGGAGGCAAGGCUGGUGGCCUGGCCUCCAUCCCCUCCCACCCAGCUGACAUGAGCCAGGGAGGUGCCUGGGCUGUGCCCUGUUCCUCCUGCAGCACGGUGGCGGCUCUGUGCCCCCUUCUGUGCCUGAUGAAAGCUCUCAAGCCUCAAGAAUUCAGCUGCCAGGCAAAGAAGAAACAAACGCACUUUGUGGCAAACAGUGGUUGGGCCAAGCCACAACAAAGGCACCAAGUUGGAUGGCCACAUGCUGUACGGAAACACCAGAAGCUUUUUCUCCAUUACAAACCCAAGGAAUUGCAUAAGUUCAUGUGGUACCUGGCCCUAUCCUCUGAUAACCCCCUGCUUAUUUCCUCACAGGCAGCUGGGAAUGGAAAGAGCUCUUCAUCUUGGUCACACAGUGGGGCAAGCCAAAGGGAGGGGACCAAUGCUUAAACCGAAAGAGAGAAAAAGCUUUUGAUGAAGAAAAGCUUUCCCUAAACAUUUCUGACAUCUCAGGAUAUGAAUUACUCUCGUUUAUACUGGAGAAACAGCUAGAAUAAUCUGGGGAGAAAAAAUGACCUCUGACUUGCUCAAAGUUAACAGCAUUAUUGAGAGGAAAGCUGAAGGUAUUUUUUGUUUGUACCCAGCAACUGUGCUAUGCAGUUUGAUGGGGAUCAUAUCUUGUCACGAAUGAGCACAAAAAAAGAGCACAGAGGAGCCCAGUCCUUAAACAGAACCUCAAAAUCCCCCAAAGAGUUUUGAAAUCAUUUUUUUUCCCCUCUUGAACUCGUCACUCUAUUUGCUCAAAAGAUUCCUUGUGGGGAAAUAACCCUUCAGAACCCUCCAGUAGAAACCUUCACUGCAUUUCAUUCUUCUUGAAAGACAACCUGUAGUGCCAAGGAGGAAAAGAUUGGAGACCACGGAGAGAAGCACACAUACCAAAACAUAGGACAGCAACCCCAUCCUAUGCCCGGCAACUUGUCCCCAGACAAACCUGAGUGGGUUGCAGUUUUCUGUGGGAAUGUGCCACCAGGCUGCCAGGUCUGCUUUUAGCCUUCACCUACUCACAAACAGCCAAAUGACUGAAAGUACAGGGUGCAAAAUAAAAAUAAACCAACCACAUUUAGACCCUCUGCUGCUAUCUGCUUAUCCGCCUCUGUCAGUGAUACAAUUCACAUCUGAAACACAUUUUUUUUUAUGUUCUGGUUCAAAGUGGAAAAAAGAUGUAAAAGCAAACAGAGUACCUCUCAUUUUUAUCAUCCCUAAGAAAGUGUGUCACAAGAUACUGAAAUUCUCUUUAUUCCUUAUACAACAUUUUGCACAGUGCUGUUUCCUGCUCAGCACCUUGCUCAAAAUGAAUACAGGCAAGUAUUUGCUCUCAUAAUUACCUUCUGAUAGCAGGGAUUAUAUCCUGCCUUGAAUCUGCCAUCUCCCUCUAGAGCAAACUUGGCUGGAUGAGUAGCGUUCAUUAGAAAUUAACUUAUUAGUAUUUUGACUUGACAUCAAUUGUUUCCUCGCUGGUAGUUCAAAUACAAAUUUUUAAUUAGAAGGAUAGGAUAACUCACACUGGCAUUUGCAAUAAUAGUGUCACCAAACCUCAGACGUUAUGGGGCUGUGAUGGGACAGUGGCAGAACCGAUGCACACGUGGCCAGCUGCUGCUGAAUGUAGCGGCGCUCGCUUGAUCCUGAGCAGGAACUGGCCCCUUGCACAACACCACGCUCUGGGGAUGAAGGAGCUCAUAGGGCUGCAGCCGCAGCUGACAAGCCUCACCGCUCCCUGCCUCAUUCCUUGUUAUUACUGCUACCAUUUGACUGAAAUUUCCCUUUACGGGAAAAGAGUCCGGUCUUCCCCUUCUCAAGUCUGUGGGCCCAGAGGCAAUGGGAAAAGAAGUCCUGGAAUUUGGGCAGCAGUGUCUGAGCAAUGCCUUCUUCAUCACUGUCUGGGAAUUUCAGAAGAAGCCGAACCACAAAGGACCUUGUAGUGGACGCUGUGCAACAGGCAGCUCACGGAGAGGGCACCUCUGGGAGCAGGAAGCUACCGCCCAGCACGGCUGCACGACACGUGCCCAAACCGUAAACCUGCUGACACUUGAAAUCUAAACACAGCAUUGCCCCAAAAGGAAUGGUCUCCCUAACAAGCAUCUCCUCCUGCCAACUGCCCAAAGAGAAUCAGCCCCACGUGUGGCCGGAGCUGCUUCAAACCAGCACUUAAGCACCUGAAGGCAUGUUUCAGGGAACAUUCCUCCACAAGCCCUUUCAGGAGGAGUGCACUGAGAUAGGGAUUUUGGUGGCCUGGAUGGACCCCAGUAUUGCGAUCCAGGAAUCAUUUAUUCUGCUUUACUAAAUGAUUACACAGGAUCAUUAACAUAAAGUCAAAACUCUUCAAAAUGACGUGGUGAACACUUCAAAUGAGACUAGAGGAGCCCUGCUGCAUCUCCCCGGCACCUGUUGGGACCCGCAGGUAGUUCUGCCUGUGGAUGCAGGGCCAGGGGAAGCGCAGAGCCCAGCCAGAGGCAGCUCCCCAAGUCACAGACACAACCCAGCAGAUCUCAGCUCCUCAAUCCCAUGGAAGGGGCAGGGAAUUUACCUUCUUCAGAAGGUUGCAGAGAUGAUAAAAUCCCUUUGUAACUGAGAGAUGCACAUAUACUACAGCAGCAUGUCUAUAGUCCUGCAAGCAUGUCC